ACAAGCUUAGCUAGCGCCA
rnacentral:snRNA from 1 species